GGGACGGAGGGGUGCUCGAGACACUCGUCUCCCCACAAAGCGGUACACUGCUGGUAAAAGAAUAUGUAACACCCUCCCCGCCAAUAUCUCACAACGCCUAGCUUCAAUAAGCCGAAAGGUCACAUUUAUUUACCUAUUUUGAACAAGGGCGGGUGGCAUUUCCCCCAUUUAUUCGAACCUAAACACAGCCAACGCUGCCCCCAAACACCACGCGUGCGUCAACAGACAGCAAACGCGGGAACGACGGCGAGGCGGAACGCCUCAGGGAUUAUCUAGAGGUUUCCAUUUUUCUUCUGGUUCGAAAGGAGCACCCUUUGCCAAUCCUCUGACAGCCAACAUUGUAUAUAGUCCCAGGAGCACCACUUUCCACAUGUCGAAGAGAUGAGUGGACUACCUGCAAGAAGGACAAAGAAUCGGGAUCGUUAAGCCCUACACAGAACUGUCACCACCAACAAAUAAAGCAAUCCAGAGGAGUUCUGGAAAUAACUCAUCCAUGGCAAGGAAAAUCUGCUUACUACAGAUUACUUCUGUGUGCCAUGAACUUUUUAGGUUCUGUACUAAUGUAACAGAAAGUAAAUAAGUGUUUCCCAUAUCAAAGUUAUUUCUAGAUACUGAUUUUUUUUCUGGAAGGGAUCAGUUUGACACUUAAGAGAAGAUAUUUGCAUUUGUAAAUUUACAUUUGUAAUCAGAUUACAACCAUUUUCACUGUCUGAACAGUUAAAACGUCCAGUUUAUGGACUCCAAGGAUAAUGCAAAACUAUGGCCUGAGAUCCAGAUAGCUCAAUUUUUGAAACUGCAUGAAAGGAGAAUGUACUACAUUAUAUUAAUAAAUGUAAUAAUAAUACAGUCUGGCAUAAGAUACUAAAGAGCAGUUUCACACCUUCAGUCAAGAAAAAAAAAGAUAAUCAGAUUCUACCUUUCACUCUCUUUAAAAUAAAUCUUACCAGUGAAUUUAGCUCUGGCUUGCCCCUUCUUGGUUAGUCUCCUUGUGAUCUGUGAAUGAACUGAUCUCUGCACUUAUAUUUCUAGUGGACUGUAGGUGGGUGUCAAUGACGUUAGCAGGCGUUCAAAAAUACAGUAAUGAUUCCAUUUCCAUCCAUGACAUAAAGACCCUUGAGAAUUUCAUCCUUAAUACUCUUAAGACCUGUUGCUAUUGAACAGUGCAGGGCAAAUUCCUCCUCCUAAAGCUGUAUUGUAGAAAACUGGCGGUAGCAUAGAAGAAGUUUAAAACUAUUUCCAGAAGAGAUGGCAGAGCUGUAUCAAAAUACCGGCUUUAAUUAAAAGUAAUUUAUGAUAUCUUCAGAAAGGUGACAUGUAAUUACAGCUGGUAGAAUGGUUUUCAAGCAGGAUGAGAUAUAGAUCAUUUUCUUGAUGCUGGAGAGAGAGAAAAGCAAGGAAUGUUUCCAAAUUCAUAACAUUUUAAUGAAAGCGUUGCUUUCCUACCCUGAUUUUAUCGGCAGUCAAUAUCCUCCAGUGAUACUACAAGCUAAGACAAAGCCUGCAAAAACAGCUAUGCUAAUUUGCCUUGGCCUUAUUUUGUAGCGUCCUUGAGCUCAACGCCGCUCCAUUUUUUUGCCUAUACAUUCAUUCCACACUUCUCUCUCCUAUUUAAGUGAUAUUUUGGUUAGUGUAAGAUGAAUCUCUAAACAGACAUUUUAAAACUAACAUUUUUUGUUAAGAAAAAUCUUUAUCCUACCCCUAAUUUCACAGGGAUAAAAAAUUCCCAGCAGUAUUAAUUUCAUAAUUGCCAUAACCUAUACAAGUAUAACCCGUACUAUUCAGCUUGUAUAUUACUCUAAAGGUUGAAAUAAUAAAAAAAUAUCACUGAAAAACAAUAAUAUUAAAAAAAAAAUCAAACCAGUCAGUUCCUCUUGUCAAAAUGGAACGUCCUGAUAAUAGAUUCAUCAAUGGUUUGUAGACUCAUCAGUGCCAGAAUAGCACUAGCAAGAGAAAAACUAGUAAGGAAACUUUCUUAUUUCCUAUUUUUUUCUUAGGUAGUCACUAAUGUCCAGUUAAAUUUUGUUAGACAAAAACAUGAGUGUUUUCAUCUCCUUCCUAACCACAGUGGAUGUAAGUCAUUUUUCUACCUGAGCUUCAGGAUUGUGAGAACAGUUAAUGAAUUACUGGAAGCACAUCUUUGCAUCAUUUCUCCUGCAAAACACACACUUUGGCCAGUCAUUUCUUGCUGAAAAAUAAGCAUCUGUCUUCAUCAUGUUAAUCUGUGAGAUAUCUUCGCAUUUGUAUAACGCUGCGUAGUUCCAAAAUUUCAAGCUGGAACUGAAAAAUGACAUAAGCACAGAAGGAGCAGCAGUUUGCAUAAUGUUCCAACACCAGAACAUCCUUGUUUUGACAUUUUCAUCUAAAAUCAGAGUGAAGUAGUAUAACAUAUCUCUGUACUUGAAAAACAGGCUUUGGUUGGUAUACUUGUUUUGGGAACCAUUUCUGGCCUACUCAAGUUUACGUAUUUAACAACCAUCAUGCAAUGAUCCUGUGCUUCUCAACUCCCUGUCUAUAAAGUGAGGGUUUCCCAGUGAAAUAACAUCUAUAGGCAGGUUUUAUCCUUCUCAUCAGAUAUUCGCAUUGUGCGUAUCUCAGCAUUUAGCACUAAUAUCCCACACCAGUCUUCUGAUUUCCUUAGCUUUGUGUAAAAGCUGCUGCUACGGUUAUUUAAACCCAGCUGCCUUUGUUGGUUUUUUGUUUGAUUGAUUGCUUGAUUUUAUUCCCAAAAGAUGAUGUAUUUUAUUUAUAUUCAGGGGUUUCAAAUUAAACACCCUUAGUCUUCUGCUGAGUUAAGGCAAGAUAUCAAAAGGAACUUACAGAAAGCUUAAAACACAGACGACUCUCAUUUCCCAAUCCACCUCCCUCUAAAAUCAACUCUCACGAAUCCUAAGAACAAGCUACCUCUCAAAUUCUGAAGGAAAGAACUAGUAUUUAUACCAUUUUUAAAAAAGAGAGAAACUGCCUAAUCAGACACAAGGAGGAUUAACCCUUUUUCUUAGUGAUAGAAGAGCAGAUGUAAAAUACAAGUAUGAAGUAUGAAUGCACAACAACAUCCUGAUCUCUUUCCAACAUACAGUUCAGUUACUCAGCAAACAGUUGAGAGCCACCACCUCAACUGGCAGGGACACCUUAAGGAAGAACACCUAAUUGCUAAUGAUCAAGAGAAGUUAAAAUAGUUGUUUGGGAUUCUCUUUUCUUCCUCUCUCUCAGAUAAGAAUCUGAAUGACUCUCUAUGCACAAAACUUGCUUCUGUUGAGGAAGAUUUCUUAAUCUCCUUCAUCAUAACUUCAAUUGCUUUCUGUCAAGUCUUUGGUUUCUUUCUGUGCAGCCAGAAACUUGGUUCAGAAUUUUAUUUCUGGUGCUUCCUGAAUAGAUUUAAAAAAAACUGAGAUAUACUGAAACAUCUGUUGAUAAUCUGAUUUCACCAAAGUAAUAUUAACUUAAGAAAAUACAAAAAUCUUCAGUCUUGAUUCCUCUUACACUCAGUGUACAAUCCGUUGGUUAAUGCACAUUUGUGCCCUGUGUAUAUAUACAAUCAAUAUCUUUAAAGUGAAGAGGUGGUUUAUUUUAAGACAAAAAAAAAAAAAAAAAAAAAAAACCCAUACAGCUACAUUUGAAAUUCCACCUAAAUUUAGUCACAAGCAAGAUAUUUUCUGCUUGAACUCUUUGAUGGUACUCACUGUUAAGGUCAACAGGGCUCUGAUCAGCUCCUUUCAUUACUUACCAUUAAGUGAGCACAGGUGUAUACACACAGCUUUACUUUCCUCCACUCUUCCCUUGGUAAAUGCAUGUCCAGUGCCACAUCUUCAUUAGUCAGAGCCCAAUAACACUUCAGGUGGCAGCCUGUCAGCACACAGCAGUGGUAAAGCAUGGAUGAUUCAGUUCUGUUGCCUAAAAAACAGAUCUUCCUAACCUGAAUCCCAUCCCACCAAGUUUAUUUUAGACCUACUUAUCUUUGAACUGUUUCUUCUCUACCACAGUUCAUAACACUUGGCUAUCCACAUCAUUUUGUUCCUUAACCAUUUCACCAGUUUAAACAUCUUGUGGAACUGAUUUACUGUUUUGUAAAUGCGAGUUUUGAUACCAGCUAUUUAGCUAGUGUUUCUACUACACUGUCUUCUUUAUGAAUAUCAAUAUUCUCCCCCUGGGACUUCCUAUCUUAGUUCUGACAUCUUUGCUUUACACCAUGACCACUGCAAUAGCAGACAUCCCUCAUACACUGUUAGAGCAAAGUUUGAGCAGACUGUUACAAUUUGGUGUCAGUCAGAAUAGCCAUCAAGCAGAUUGGUUGGUGCUGUUUGCUCAAAUCUCUAUAAACUCGUACUGUUACUUUCUAAGCUAACAGCAUUUACAUUAAAAAUUAUUUGAUCUAAGGCUGUCUAAACUUACUGCCAUUUUUCUUCUUUGCCAAUUCAUUAUAGUUCUCCCAAAGUCAAACAUAAGUAGUAAACAAUUCUAUUAAUACACUAUUAGUACACUCACACAAAUUGAAAUAAAUUGAUUCCUCUUUGGAGGACAGUACCUAGUUCAAUAAGCGCUAUCCAGGGUAGAUGUCAGUGUCCUGCAGUUUUGAAUGUGAUCAAAUUUAAGCAUUGGGUUUUUCUCAAAUUGUCAACAUAGGAGCACAUCUUCAGUAAAUCAAAUCCUCAUGAAGUUGCUGACAUAAUGACUGUGGCAUGGUAAUACCUGAGUAUGUUCGAAUUCCUUUCCAUGCUCACUGCACUGCAUGUUCAGUCUCACACAAGUUCCCUCGAAACAGUAAAAGCCUUGUUCUAGAAUGAGAGGCAAACUUAAAAGUGAUUAGUUACAGAACAAGUUUCAUACCCAUGAUGCUGUAUAUAAACUACAUUAUUCAACAAAUAUUUUUCCAUUCUAUUAUAUUUCCCAUUCAAGAUAGCAAGACAGAUGUAAAAGCAUAAGAUGCACAAGUUGAGAUAUUGAGACAGGCUUCAUCAAGCACAAUGUUUACUGCAUUCUGCUUAAGAUGCAAAAGCAAAAAAAAAAGAAAGGAAAAAGAGUCCAUUAUGGAAAGUAAUGCUCUAACCACAGUGUUUUUGUUCACUGAUUUUAUUCUCUGCUUAGAAUCCCAAGUAUUACAAGUUAGAAGGAAAAGCACCGAACUGCUCCACAUAAGUACCUGAGCGAAGACUAAAGGCAAAUGUUCAUCACAACACUCAUGAGCGUGUUUGUACAACGAAGUACAGGUAACAUUCACAACACUCCACAGAGCACGAUUGGUAAGUGGCACUUUUUGUGAAUUACCACCAUUUGUACUAAUGCAACCAUGUUAAAACACCAUAUAAAAAUAUACAGAAGUGUUUAUUUAGCAAAGCUUAUACUAUACAGUACGCUUUUAUAUCAUGCAUACUAAUGUUAAAAAAAAGACAUUAAAACAAUAUGGAUUAUACACAACAGACAUGGAAACCAUCAAAACAUGAAAGUCCCAGCAUAGCUCUCAUUCAAGCUGCCCUUAAUUUCAGUGAAAAAGGACCAGUAUUUAAAAGCACAGUUUUGAAUGGCUGACAUUAACAGCUUUCACUAAUUUAAACAUUAGCUGAAGAUACCUAUUUUCCAAGGUUUUCUCAGCAUCUCACAAGACAAAGACUUUGCUCAAGCUUAUCACACACAGCAGGUGUAUCUGAGAAUUCAGUUAUAACUCUUCUAAUAAGCACAAUAAUUUAUUAUAGCAUUAUUUAAACAUUUAUUGAUAAGACCCUGUCAACAACUCUAGAAACCUGUAACCAUUACAGUUAGCUCCACUUUAAGUACUAGGUUUACAGUAGCUAUGUAAGAACUCAACAAGAAGAAAAAAAAGUUAGGUUGCUUAGUAACUGAUAAAAUUUCCCAAAAACUAAUGCUUUUCAAUGCUUUCAGCUUGCUUAACAAAAACAACCAAUCAAUCCCCAGUUUGUUGCCCAUCACCCCAAAGUAUUCUGUCCAACAUUAUUCUGUCUUUGUGCUUGGAAAAAUUGAUUAAAGGGCAACACAGGAAUUAAGUUACUAGGCUUGCACAUUUUCUCUAGAUUCAUCAUCAUACAUAAAAGCCUUAAAAGUAGCUUGGCCCUCUCAGUGAUUUUCACACUAGUGUGCCUGUAGCCAGGAAGUCAACAAUUACUAGGAAUAACAUCAGUACAGAACAAAGAAGAGACACCUAAGGGACUGGAAAAAGUUCUAACAGUCCUAAACCCAUCUACUACAAGGAAUUGGUAAGGCUGACAAAAAAAAAAUCAAGUUAUCUGUUGUUCCACAAUGAAAACAGCAUUGUGGCAGCCAGAUUCAUGUUAUAUCUCAAUAAAAGAAAGUUAUUAACUGAUUACUGUACUGCUACAAAUUACUGGGAUGAGCUGACAUGAAGUUAUUUUGUAUGCACAUCUCAAUGUCCACAGCCCACUGUCAGUCUCCCAGAUAUGACACCUUUAUUCAAGAACAAGUUUUACUCAGCACUAUUACAGGGGAAAAAAAGAAUUUGGAGGAUUUUGUUCAAAAUAGACAAUCAUUUAGAAGCAGCUUUUCCUCAGUUCUUCAUGCUAAACAGUAAGAAUUUUAUUUAAUUUUUUUUUUACUACAUCAAAGCAGGAUUUUAAGAUCUUGAAUAUGUCUUUUUGAUGAUUUAAGAGCAGAAUGCGUAAACUUAUUUUUUCAAGCUUAUAGAUACAUUUUUCCUAAAACAUGAAAUUCCUUAUUCAAAUGUCUAAAAGCUUGCAAACAAAUGCAUCCCUGCCCCUCAACUCCACCCAAACCAUUCUGAGUAGACGUUGAUACUUAAUGGCUAAAAUAAAGUAUUUUGCUUGAGCUACAGUUUUGAAGAAAAUAAACUGAAUUUGAAAGAUUCUGACACAAAGAUUUAGAAGAUGAGAUGCAUCUGAUGCUAAUCUUUCUUCCUUAUUUUUCUUUGUCAUUAAAGAAAGAAAUGAGAAAUUAAGGUCAGCUAAAGUUUCCUGUCUUUGGGCGGUUAAGUGUGUGCAUUGUACUUCUCAUAAAUCUUCAUGUCUGUAAAUGUAGGGUUUAAAAAAAUAAAAAUAAAAAAUGAUUUUCCCCAAACCAAUUAUAUGUAUGAUCCACACAACUCUUUGAGUUCAAAAAAGAAAAAUAAGGCUACAGAAGUCCAAAGGCUACAGUCAGUGUGUAUGCAUUUACUGGUUUAAGGCACACAGUUGUGGGUUUUGUUUUGUGAUGGUGGUGUCUGUUUUUUUGCUUUAUGAAGAUACAAGUUUCAAGUCACAGUGAGGAAUUUCACAUUUCAGUUUUGGUCUGGCACAAAUUAUGUAUCCCAUGUCUAUUUUUGCAGACUUCUGUAAAAUAUUUCAGUUGUCAGGUACUGAUCUCUAAUACUGUUUUCACACUUAGAGUGACACAAAUAGAAAAUAGAGAAGCCUGAGUUGAUCCCAGAAUAGUGCUUUUAACAUUUCAAAAAGCUACACAUCUAAAGAUUUAAUAUAAGCCUUUAACUAAUUUAAGAAUUUGGAGGAAAACAAGGUCUUCAUUGGUAGUUCAAUGAACAUGGAAAAACUUCAGUAAAGCAAAAGCCUACAGGACAGAUGCUAUGUAUCUUCACUAUAUCACCUGCAGUGCCUACUAUUACUGUGAACCUCUAGUUUUGUGCUACAGCAGAAGGAUAGUGCAAACCAAGGAUAACUCUUUAUGGAAGGAGCAACUGGAAUGAUGUACUGUGAAGUAACAAGCUUUUGUGUACCAUUCCUAAACUUCAGAGACACAACAUUAGCUCUGAUACUACAUGUUUCCAAGAGAAUUUAGACCACAACCUAUCAAGAACUGCAGAGAAAACAUGCUUAAAAGAUCUUUUAUGAGAGACUGAGUUGCAAAACCUGCAUGCAUAUAAGAAUGUAGAAUGAGACCCUAAAUCUUAAACCAACUUGAAGUUUAAAUGUCACAGCUUUGACUCUGGUUUCUAGGCUAUGAUGCCAUAAGCACAUAUUUGAAGCAGUUCCAUGCUUAGAUAUAACUGAAGAAUUGAAGUGGUGGGCAGACUUCAGUAAAAGCUAUAGAACUUUCUAAAUACUUACAUUUACUUAAAAGAAAAAGUAAUGUUUAGUAAUAAGAUGAAAUGGAUACUUAUUAUUUUUAUCUUUUAAUGUCCCAAUUAGAAGUUUUGAAUACAUUCUUCCAUAAAUAAAAAAUAGAUAUUUGUAAUAGCUUCGUCAAAUAAACUUCAAGAGACUUUAAGUAUUUUACUAUGAAUACAAGCUUAUAGUCCUAGCCCUAAGAAAAGGCAGAAAACCUAUUUUACUUCAAAAUAAAAAUGAACCUGCUUUUCAAUUGUCACUCACUGGUACACUUCUCCAGAGGUAUACAAGAGCAGCACAUAGCUUUGGUGACAGAAACACGUCUGCCCUAAAAGUGUGGUGACGUAAGAUUUAAAACCACUUACAGUGCAGUGCUAAGUGCUUAUAAAGGCUAGUUUGAUUAUCUCCCCCCCAAAAAGGAGAUGUAAAGAGCCAAACCUGAAAAUUAAGCAAUUAACAUUCACCAUGAUAAGUAAAAAACAUUGACUUCAGUCUCUUUUACAGCUAACAGUUUUCUACUGGCUUGGUGACUUGAAACAGCAGCGCGAUUACUGUACACACACCAUAACUGCCUCCAAAACCAUUUUCAGUAGCUAAGAGCAUUAAAGGUCUAUAAAUGGCUGCACUUUUUCUCAGCGUAAACUAACAAAAAGUAUUUCCUUAUCAGCACACUCAUCAAUGCAUUGAAUUCAACUUCACCAGCUAGAUCAAAAAGGCUUCUCAAAUAUUAAUUUUAUGCACAGGCAACAGAUUAGCUUUGUUCAUCCUGUCAAGGUCUGAAGGACAUGUCAGAUUUUAGG